UUGAUACCUACUCCUGAUUUAUGAUAUAAAUAAUUUUCUCAGAACUUCAGAGCACAGAGAGGUCCCUGUGGGGGUGACAAAAUGCACCUACCUCACAGCUCAAUCUCUUAAUUUGGUUUCCAGGUGCUACUGUCACUCACGAUGUCCAUAACAAGAAGAUGGAAAAUAAUCCGACCCCACCUGAGGGCUUCUUGCCAAAAUCUGCUGCACCAGGGGUGAUGAAUAUGUCAGGAGCUGGUAUUCCACCCAACCAAAUGGGUUCUCCCUGUGACGACUUCACUAAAGAUGACCUGAUUCAUAAACCUGGUAGUAAUUCACUUGGAGGAGGAACCAAAAGCCACAGUGUCUCUGCAGAAUAUGAAAGAGUUUUCACUUUGAAGAAGUGCAAUGACCUCUUGCAGUCAAGAAACAGUUUGUUGAAUAUACCAUCAAGGAAGCUGAAAGGAUGCUGCUUUGAUUGGUGUUAUUUAAUAUAAAUCUGAAGGCUACUGCUCCACAUGGACAAGAGUGAACAAAGGAAAAAUUCAUGAGUCAGUUUUAUGAGAUCCAAACAAGAUUCUGAUGUGUAACAAAGUCUAGAUAUUGUCUCUGCCUUAAUCUGAGAUUAUCAUUGAAAUUUCUACAGAACUUAUACUGUCAGCACAUUUAUG
rnacentral:lncRNA from 1 species